rnacentral:rRNA from 1 species
GACGAACGCUGGCGGCGUGCUUAACACAUGCAAGUCGAACGGAAAGGCCCUGCUUUUGUGGGGUGCUCGAGUGGCGAACGGGUGAGUAACACGUGAGUAACCUGCCCUUGACUUUGGGAUAACUUCAGAAAAAUGGGGCUAAUACAGGAUAUGAGCUCCUGCAGCAUGGGGGGGGUUGGAAAAUGUCGGCUGUGGUGGAUGGAAUGGCGGCUUAUCAGCUGGUUUGUGUGGUAGUGGCUUACAAAGGCUUUGAAGGGUAGCCGGCAUUAGAGGGUUACCGGCCACCAUGCGACUGAGAUACGGCGCAGAAUCCUACGGGCGGCAGCAGUGGGGAAUCUUGCACAAUGGGCGGAAGUCUGAUGCAGCAACGCCCCGUGCGGGAUGACGGCCUUCGGGUUGUAAACCGCUUUCGCCUGUGAUGAAGCCUGAGUGACGGUACUGGGUAAAGAAGCACCGGCUAACUACGUG